rnacentral:rRNA from 1 species
GAUGAACGCUAGCGGGAGGCCUAAUACAUGCAAGUCGAACGGUAACAGGGUAGCAAUACCGCUGACGAGUGGCGCACGGGUGCGUAACGCGUACACAACCUGCCUUAUACUGGGGCAUAACCUUGGGAAACUGAGGCUAAUUCCCCAUAACAUGUCGAAAAGGCAUCUUUUUGACAUUAAAACUCCGGUGGUAUAAGAUGGGUGUGCGUCCGAUUAGGUAGUUGGUGGGGUAACGGCUCACCAAGCCAACGAUCGGUAGCUGGUCUGAGAGGAUGAUCAGCCACACGGGCACUGAGACACGGGCCCGACUCCUACGGGAGGCAGCAGUAGGGAAUAUUGGACAAUGGGCGAAAGCCUGAUCCAGCCAUCCCGCGUGAAGGAUUAAGGCCCUCUGGGUUGUAAACUUCUUUUCUCUGGGAAUAAAAAGUGGGGUUCUCCCUACCUUGAAGGUACCAGAGGAAUAAGCACCGGCUAACUCCGUG